rnacentral:rRNA from 1 species
AUGGACACCACUUCACACUUGUGGAAGUUGAUUUUAAGCCCCGACAUGAGUUCAAAACACAACAGAAUGGCCUUGACCGUUGCGAUACUGUGUGUGUCGGGCUCGAAAAGGAGGAGUGUGUCAUCCGCGUAUUGCAGGUGUGACACUCCCCCCGGGAUCAGGUUGUCCACCACUCCCCUGAUGUGGCCAGCCAAACGAGCUCUGUCGAGGCUACGGCGAGGCUGGGUCCCCCUGACGCAGCCCACGCUUGUUGCGGAAAAAGUUCCCGACUUCUCCGUUCACCGCAAUCGCCGUUUGACCCCCCGAGACCAACUGCAUCAUGCGAUGAACCCAAACCGACGAGAAUCCCCGGUCCAGGAGGACCUGACGGAGAAACUCCCAGUUCACGCGAUCGUACGCCUUCUCAAAAUCAAGUUUCAGGAGAAUCGCGGGCUGGCGAGCGCGUUUUAG